rnacentral:rRNA from 1 species
AGAGUUUGAUCCUGGCUCAGAACGAACGCUGGCGGCGCGUCUUAAGCAUGCAAGUCGAACGGCAAGAGAGGAGCUUGCUUCUCUCCUAGAGUGGCGGACUGGUGAGGAACACGUGGGUAAUCUACCCUUAAGAUGGGGAUAGCUGCUAGAAAUAGCAGGUAAUACCGAAUACACUCGAUAGUUCAUAAGAAGUAUUGAGGAAAGGAAGCUACGGCUUCGCUUGAGGAUGAGCUUGCGUCCCAUUAGCUAGUUGGUGAGGUAACGGCCCACCAAGGCGACGAUGGGUAUCCGGCCUGAGAGGGUGAACGGACACAUUGGGACUGAGAUACGGCCCAAACUCCUACGGGAGGCAGCAGCUAAGAAUAUUCCGCAAUGGACGGAAGUCUGACGGAGCGACGCCGCGUGGAUGAAGAAGGCUGAAAAGUUGUAAAAUCCUUUUGUUGAUGAAGAAUAAGGGUGAGAGGGAAUGCUCAUCUGAUGACGGUAAUCGACGAAUAAGCCCCGGCUAAUUACGUGCCAGCAGCCGCGGUAACACGUAAGGGGCGAGCGUUGUUCGGAAUUAUUGGGCGUAAAGGGCAUGUAGGCGGUUAUGUAAGCCUGAUGUGAAAUCCUGGGGCUUAACCCUAGAAUAGCAUUGGGUACUGUAUAACUUGAAUUACGGAAGGGAAACUGGAAUUCCAAGUGUAGGGGUGGAAUCUGUAGAUAUUUGGAAGAACACCGGUGGCGAAGGCGGGUUUCUGGCCGAUGAUUGACGCUGAUAUACGAAGGUGCGGGGAGCAAACAGGAUUAGAUACCCUGGUAGUCCGCACAGUAAACGAUGUACACUAGGUGUCGGGGCAAGAGCUUCGGUGCCGACGCAAACGCAUUA